CUAGUAAUUAGCUUAAUCAUAUUCAUUGGAUACUAUGUGGAUUAUGGAAAAACAGGCGAAUCUAAAUAUGCAGUACAAGUAGUAGCUCGUGUAUUUCAUUAUGUUGCACAUAUUGUUUUUCUUCUUCURCUUAUUCUUUUGGCCAAAGGGUGGACAGUUACAAGGGGGCGAAUCAGCAGCUCUGGUCAAGUAAAACUCAGUGCAUUUUGUACUUUAUAUGCUGUGUGCU